AAAGUCCUUUCUAGCCGUCAGAAACUCCAUUGGGGAGAGUGCUAUUCCCCCUCAAAAGUAGCAUAUUGCUUUCUAACCUCAGAGCCGGGAUUUCAGGGCUCUGGAAAAGGUGAGCACUACUAUUUAUACCCUUUGAUACUAAUAUAGUAUAUGCUUUUCUGCACAGUUGCUUUUCUGUUUUCUCUGCCUGGGACAAAGGGGUGUUUGCUGCCCAAAGAGCAUAAAGGAUCUUUUUACGGAGCCAAUACUAAAUAGGCUCCUGUCCAUGUGAGUGGUGAGUAAACCCCUUUACUGUUUAAAGCACUCCACUUGUUUGGUAUAAUACUUAUACCUUAUUUUUUGUAUUUGUUUUUUAUUGUGGGUAAGGGGUAUUCCACUUUUAGUGUUGAGCAGCUUCUAUCUUUUGGGCACUGUCAAGAAACACUCUCUAUCUCUUUGAGAUAGUUUGUUUGUUUUAUAUUCAAUUAUAUAAAUAUACACGUAGACUUCAAAUAUAUAAAUAUGCAUAUAUAUUUAAAUUCUACGUGCAUAUUUAUGUAAUAUUUUUACAUAAUUCAGUAAUUUAAUUGAUUGCAAUUUGAGGGACCUGCCUGCCAACCCAGGCCGACAGUCCAGAGAAUUUAAUUUGCUAGCACUAUAUUUUACCCUGUAAGUUUCUAUGAUACCCUAAUACUUGUACAUGGGGGGUACUGUUUUACUCAGGAGACUUCGCUGAACACAAAUAUUAGUGAUUCAAAACAGUAAAACAUAUCACACAUAAACAGCACUUUUACUGAUGAUAUAAUUGUUGUGAUACGUUUUCGAUUGUGAAACACUAAUAUGUGUGUUCAGCGAUGUCUCCCGAGUAAAACAGUACCCCCCAUGUACAGGUUUUAUAGCGUUUUUGAAAGUUACAGGGCCAAAUAAAUGGGUCAAAUAUUUUACAUUGAAAAAGGCCAGGUUGGUUACGUUGCCUUUGAGAGCGUAUGGUAGCCCAGGAAUGAGAAUUACCCCCAUGAUGGCAUACCAUUUGCAAAAGAAGACAACCCAAAGUAUUGCAAAUGGGGUACGUCCAGUCUUUUUUAGUAGCCACUUAGUCACAAACACUGGCCAAAAUUAGCGUUCAAUUUAGUUUUUUACUUUUUUCACACACAAACAAAUAUGAAUGCUAACUUUGGCCAGUGUUUUUGACUAAGUGGCUACUAAAAAAGACUGGACAUACCCCAUAUUGAAUACCCUGGGUUGUCUACUUAAAAAAAAAAAAUAUGUACAUGUGGGGUGGGAUUUAUGACAGAUAACAGUGUUACAAUGUCACUAUUGAUAAAUUUUAAAAAUGUAUGUUUUGAAACUGCAAUAUCCUACUUGUAGCUAUAGCCCUAUAACUUGCAAAAAAAAAUGUAAACACUGGGUCUUUUAAAACUCAGGACAACAUUUUGAAUCUAUUUAGCAGUUUUUUUAUUCGCUUUUGUAGAUGAGUAAAAGAUUUUUCAAGUAAAAGUUAAAAAAAAGUAUUUUUUUUUUUUCAAUUUUUCACCAUAUUUUUUUAUUUUUUUUAAAUUAAAUUACAUGAGAUUAUAUAAAUAAUGGUAUGUAAAGAAAGACCCUUUUUGUCCUGAAAAAAACCAUAUAUAAUUUGUAUAGGUCUAUCAUUGAUUCUCAAAACCUAGAAAACCAUUCAUAAUCAUACAAUUGUGCCAAAUUAUCAUGAGAAAAAUAAAUUAAUUUCCAUGAAACUCUAAACACCAAAUUAGUGAACUGAAAACUGAAUUGCAUAAUGUAGGGGAAAAAAAAUUAUUUGGAAGAAGUCUUUAACUCAGAGGUAAUCACAUGUUGUCUACUUAAAGGGAAACUAUAGAGCCCUUCUCCCCCCCUUCUUCCCCUUGGAGCAGAAGGCGGUAAAACCACUUCUGUCACUUACCUAAUUCCAGGGCCAAUGUUCCUCAACUUUGAAAGAGGCUCCACCUCCGCUCCUCCCCUGCUAACAUCAGACCUAAGGUGCAUGUGCGGCGAUGGCGGCGCUAGCCUUAGUACUUCCCCAUAGUAAAGCAUGCAUAAUGCUUUCCUAUUUGGGUUUUACAUGACGCUGGAUGUGCUCAUGCAUAGCGUAAGGGCCGUCUAACAACCAGAAAGUCUCUCUAGUGGCUGUCUUGUAGACAGCCCCUACAGGUGGAGUUAACCCUCAAAGGUAAAUAUUGCAGUUUAUUAAAAACUGCAAUAAUUAUCACUGCAGGGUUAAGGGACUUAGGAUACUGCAUCUAGACCACUUCAUUGAUCUGAAGUGGUCUUGGUGCCUAUAGUGUCCCUUUAAGCCUAGAUUUUGAAAUCCGUAUCUAAUUCACAACAAUUUAGUGUUUAUUGAAUAAAUCUGUAACGGAUCACCUGGCACCCCAACUGGGUACCUCCGUUGAAGGAUGCUCCUAGCACUUCCUGAGGACUCCAAGCACUGCAGCAGACACCACAACCACCGAACCAGAGAAGCAUACAAAUGCUCUCAAGCAUAUGAAUGCUGUAAGCAGCUGAACAGGAAAAGCAUACAAUCAGCUUACACUCCUGGCAAUCAGCAUAGAAUCCAAUUCCCCCAAUAACGAGACAACACUUCGUUUUGAGGUCAAGCAGAACUGACUGGACUGGCACGGCACAUACAGCCUCUUUUAUUCCUAAUCCACAAACAUAGUACUGCCCACAGGGUUUUACAGAACAACCAAUAACACACGUACAUUACAGAAAACACUCCCAGCAAUUAUACACAAAAUCCUCCCCUCUGCUUGUGAUCUAAUUAUGGCACACAAUGGUUUAACAUAAUUAUCACAAGCAGGAAAAAUACAGUAUCAUAAAACACAUCACAGGGACCCCAAAAGAUACAAUAACCCCAUAAAUAUCUUUGGAACCGGGGGAUCUGGGUGAACCACAUAUCCCAAAUUCACCCAGAUCCGUUCAGUACUUUGGAAGAUACAGUUUAAUGCAGAUUCCACAGAACAUAUGCAGGCUAUAUGAAAAACAAUUACUGUAUAAUGUGUCCCCUGUUGCAUAGUCCAAAACCACUGCACGAUGUCUCUGUGCACCAAAUACCAGCGAGAUGGCACCGUUUUGAAAAGUCCAAACAGUGUCUGUGAGUUAAAAUGUCCGCCAUCCAUUGUUCUCACCAUGCGCUUCAUCCAUUGUUCUCACCAUGUGCCUCUGAUACAGGAAAUGGUGGCCACCCAGUAACUCCACAGUAUGUCCCCAGAUGGAUCUUAAAGGGCCAGCAGCAGCACAACACAAAUCCAUUAUGCCCAAAUCAUGUCUUUAAAGGGCAAUAUAUCCCAGGGGCCAUAGUCACAUGGCAGGAGGCUGGCAAUCAGUCUUCUCCAAUGCCCAGUGGCAAGGUCGGUUUCGCCACAAAAUCCAUGUGACUUUUUUUUUUUUUAUUCUUUUUUUUUUUAUGUGCAUGAGAUAACAGAAACAGGCUUGCAAUGCCACAACAGCAGUUACAGGCAGUUCGAAAACAAGCAUAGGAGAACAUUUGCAUGGCAAUCACAGAAAAGGCACAAUUUUUAAAAAUGUUGAAUACAAGAUAAAUAAGUAUAUCUAAUGUGGUAGGUCACGUUGAGAUCGUCAAGCCGGAGACAUUAAACAUGUAGUGAUUCAUUCAAGUGUGUAUGAGCAACCGAUGUUAAAGAGCAAGGAGUAUGAUAAAAUAAUAGUGAAAAGACAAAUGAGUGAGUCAUACAUAGUGCGGAUUAAACUAAGUAACUCUAAAUUAAUAUAUGAUGUACUACAAUAUGGUGAUACACACACGAGUGAAACUUUUCUCCGGGACUGGUUAAUCAGGAAAGAGUAGGUAAGUGAUAUUAGCAUUGCAGGGGUGUGGAGGGAGAGAAGGAACAUCAGGUCUUAAAAGACCCAUUAACUAUUAAUGCAGAGUCAUGAUUAUUAGGCGUAGUAUCCGUUCAUUCCCAUUAAGUCACCAUGGUGCAAGUGUCCCCAUUCACCUGAUACCAGAUGUUGGCAGGCAUUCGGCGUAGGUCUGGGAAUAGUCCGAGGCAUUCCGUGCAAUGGCAUUCUCCUGUGCCGGAGCUGCAUAAUGUCGGCUGGUAUGGCUUCAGAUGCUUAGGGCUGUGUGUGGGAGAUCUCCGGUUGUGUGGAGGCCCAGACAGGCGGUAACUCAUGGUGGGUCUGCAUCAGUGUGUUCUCUUCACCCUCUUCUCCUGCUUCAUUGCGGUCAGUGGUUUGACAGUGCUCUUUGGAGCUGGUUUUGGUGUAAGUGGAGCAUUGGGCCAUCAAGAGACUUCAAUGGCUGCUUGAGUCUGUGUCAGUUUGGCCCACAGUUGUGCCCAGAAGUGGUCAAAGGCUUUUGCCUUGCAGUUCCCAUGGGGGGUCCCGCCAUCUGGACUCAGUGUAACCGCCAUCUUAACUUGGAGCAUGUGGACCUGUUUCUUGGUCCCUGUAAUCACUUUACCCAGGAUCAUGCACCGAUGGACGCCCAGUGAAGACCUGGAUAACACCUCCCCCCGGUCCAAAGGGGGGGGAGGGAUAGGAGUCCAACUGAGUCGCUGGGUAAGUCUAGUGUCAGGAAGAGCAUCCGCCUCUCCUCAGCUCCAGCUCUAGUAGGCUGCAGUUCAGCUUUCUGGUCUCCCGGCCUUGGCGGACUCGAGUGAGGUGUCAGUCGAUUCAGCAGUGCAACCCCGAUGUGUGAGGCUCACACAGUGCAACCCCGAUGUGUGAGCCUCAGAUUGUACCCCAAAAUCCACACGUUAGGCAGGAGCUCAUGCUGCCCACGUCUGCACUGCUCAGAGGUCAGGCUCCACCCCCAAAACCCAUGUAACUUUUAUAAAAAGAUAGAAGUGACAUCAGAAAAUAGUUUUCUUAAUCACUUUUUUUUUUGUAAAGUGCUCUUCGUUAAAUAACACUUUUUUUUUUUUUUUUUUAAUGUGCAGAAUUCAUAAAGGCUUUUUUUCCCCUCAAACAUAACUGUUUCUCUAUUAUGAAACCAGUGGUUUAUGAACAAUGUUGCUGAACUAAUUGCAUUGACAAAUGCAUUAUAAAUAAAAAUAAUCAAAUUGACUUGCAGUGAAAUGUGAUUGUUUUGGAAAACAUAGCAUACUCCAUAGGAAUAUCUGUGUUCCUGACGCAGACAGCCAUGUCUAUUAAUAAUGUAUACUGUAUGCUUCCUCCACACCACCACAGGUGAUUUGAUUUACAUCUACUCUUUAAAAACACAGCUUUAUGAUUCAUUUGUAGGGUAGUGGGUGGAAAGAAGCUGAAAUUUCCAUUAAUUUUGCUUUAAGGUGUUCAUUAUGGUAUGCUAAACAUUUUUUUUAAUUAACGCAAAAUCCGCACAUCCAUAAUUAUGUUUCUCCGUAAUGAAAUGGUUCACUUGAUUUGUGUGAUUAGAGUAUGUGUUUCUAAAACCGUCAACAAAUACAGAGCACAUCUAGCAUUAAUAUUAACAUUUUUUUUUCAUUUGCAUAUUCAAGUGUUCAUAUUCCACUUUUAUUUUAACAUGAUCAGUUGGAUAAAAUAAUUUGCAAAAACGUCCGAAAUGUACGGUAUGAAGAGCAAAUUUAGAUGAACUCUAAGAAGAUGCUAUAUCAAGUUCUCUUGGGCUAAAUUUAUGGAUGAGCUUUGCAAACCGAAAAUGAAAUCAUGCAAAAUUCAUGUUCAGAUUUUUGAUUUUCAAUCCAUCAACUUGUGCAUCCCUAUUCUCUGUUCAAUCAUAGAAGGCAUGCUACUGUUUUGUUAGAUUAGUUUUCAAUUCCCAUGCUGACUUUCCUCUUCUCACUAGAAUGCAGUCAGAGUUGUGAUGACCAUUGUAUUAUACUGACCGCUGAUAAACCUAAAUCCUGAUCCCAGAGUACAUGAAGAGGACCAGGCUACAUUAAUCUUAGUAAUAAACCAAAACUAGUUGCAAUAACAUGAUCAUCUAUUUACAGUUUGUGAAUGUAUCUCUAUGUAUUUGUGUAUGUAUAUUUUACGUAUAUAGCCCAAAUAAGCCUACUUGUAGAGGUUAAUUUACAGAAGCAACUAGGUUUGCUAAAUGUAAGACUUAACCACUUAGAUUAAGUUGUUAUGGUGGCUGGAGUCCACCAGUGCGGUGUUAACAUUUUAAAUCUCCUUGAAUGGUUUAAUAUUAAACAUGUGUCCCCCGGUGACCAUCUCUUGCCCUCCUCUUCUGCUUCUGCUGUAACAUAAUGGAGCUGGCACUGGCAAUGAUUGACUGGAAGUCUCCUCACGCUGUUGCUUCCACAUUACCUGGAACACAUUUCUAUUGUUAAACCCUUCGAGAACAGUUUAAAACUUAAAGGUAACAAUGUGCGGGGGGACCAUAACAACAUAACAGUUAAAGUUGUUAUGGUGCCCAUAGUAUUCCGCAUUACCCAUACAUGGAGACGAUUUACCUUAAAUAAUGGUUUAAUACUUAAAGAGAACACUGUGCCGGGUUGUAUUCCUCUAUAUCGAUACAUGCAUUAGAAUAGGACAGUGAUUCUCCUCUGUUCUUGUCUGCUGUGUCAGGACCCUAAAAGCACAUUAUAUUCAUUGGAGCACAAGCGACUAACUGAUUUCAAAAAAUGUUUUAUUAUUGUAGAAGACCCUAGGUACAAUAAAGACCAUGGCACUGGUAAAAGUCAAAUCAAGGGUUUUGACAGCAAACACUUUAGUGUAAAUUAUAUUGUGUAUGGAUCACUAUUAAUUUUGCAAUUUAAAUAUUUGUUUCAAAGCUAAUAUCGAAUAACUUCUAUUUCAAAGAGAUUAAGCACCACUGGGUUAUGCUUUCCUGUUGAAUAGAACUUGCAUUCGGAAUGGGAAUGGAGACAUACACAGAUUUACUACUCACAUGAGUUUUGGAGAAGUGAUAAUGGAAUUGUAAGAUUUAGGGCAAAAGUUAGUUAUGUUUUUUGUUCUAAAAUAUGCAAUUAUCUUGUAUUAUUGUCACAAAUCCCAGUUUCCCAGUAUCCCUAACAUAUAUAAGAAGGAGAAAGAGCAUGUGUUGCUUGAAUGAACGAAACUUAGAUGGUAAAAUCAAUGCAUCAAUUUAGUGCUUUCAUAUAUAAUAAACGGAUUUGACGUUAUAUGUACUUAUUAUUUCCUGCCUGAUGUAUCAUACUUGGGUAUGUCAUAUUCUGCUAUUCAUUUAUUUUGGUUAAUUGUUUCUAUUUAGAAAUAUGAGACUUUUAUUCUGGAUGACAUCUGCGCUGACAAUAUGUACGCUGAAUGCAACCCAGCCAAGGCCUAACUAUCUUCUAAUAAUGGUUGAUGACCUCGGAAUUGGAGAUGUUGGCUGUUAUGGAAACUACACAAUUAGGUUUG
rnacentral:lncRNA from 1 species